AUUGAACGCUGGCGGCAGGCCUAACACAUGCAAGUCGAGCGGAGCGGCGGACGGGGGAGUAAUGCCUAGGAAUCUGCCUGGUAGUGGGGGAUAACGUCCGGAAACGGGCGCUAAUACCGCAUACUCUCAGAUGAGCCUAGGUCGGAUUAGGUAGUUGGUGGGGUAAAGGCCUACCAAGGCGACGAUCCGUAACUGGUCUGGGAGGAUGAGCAGCCACACUGGAACUGGGACACGGUCCAGACUCCUACGGGAGGCAGCAGUGGGGAAUAUUGCACAAUGGGCGAAAGCCUGACGCAGCCAUGCCGCGUGUGUGAAGAAUGUCUUCGGAUUGUAAAGUACUUUAAGUUGGGAGGCGUUACCAACAGAAUAAGCACCGGCUAACUCCGUGCCAGCAGCCGCGGUAAUUC
rnacentral:rRNA from 1 species